CCGGUUAUGUGAACAUAACAUUUUUUGGAUUUGUAUUACACAAUAAAAAAAGAAUAGAACAUUUUCCAUCUUUAGAUCACAGUUCAAGUUUAAUAUCUUUGGGGAAAAUGAUUAAACAUUUAAACAAACUUUUAUUGCAUUUCAAAAAAGUUUUUGUCAUACAUCCCUGUCUUCUGAUAUUGGUUUGAAAUAUUGGUUUCUCUUAAUGUGAAAUUAAAUGCUAUAAGUUACGUUUUUCAAUUAUUUUUGUUAAAAUAAAUUUAUUUGACGUCAUGCUCCAUUUUUUCGAUAAUUUAAAGAGAAUGGUAUAUAUCACAAUGUUUUUCACUAACCCAAUUCUCUUUCUCUUCUUCAUAAACGAUUUAGAUUGCCUCGAAAAUUUUAAAGCUAAAAAGCUUUUUAAAAGGGAAUAUUCUGAUUGGUUAACUUUUACUCGUCAAGAAUUUAUUGAUAUUGAAAGUGGAUUCUUUUCUGGAACAAAAUUAGAAGAUUUAGUUCCAAAUCAUUCAGGGAAUAACUCAAAAUGGAAAUUUAUGAACAAAAAUAUAAACGAUUAUUUAUCCAGUUUGUGGGAAGCAUGCGCCGAGAAGUAUUUUCAUUUGAAAAGUUCUGAUCAUUUUGGAAGAACAAGAAGAACAUCCUACUGUCUCUGGGAUGCUAUGCUCAAAACUUUCAACUUAUAUUCAGUGUUUAGUGAUAAGAAAGUGCUAACAAACCAACCUUGGUGGCCUUUAGACUUAGAGUUGAUGUCAUUAAUUUGGAUUUAUAUGAGUUGUACACAACAUACAAGAGAUAUUUUCUGCCCUAAGCCAUGCAAGAACAAACCUUGCAAAAGAAAGAUUCAUAAAGAUAGGGUUGACUGGUACAAUCAAUUCAGUUGUAUUACUUCAGGAGAAUCUUUAUUUAAGGAUGAUUAUAAAUGCAUAUGCAAAGAAAAUUUUAUCUGGAAUAAGGAAAAGAAGUUAUGUGUUGAGCAAGACUUUUGUCAAGGAUCGUAUUGUGUAUUAGAGAACGUUGUAAAUUGUACACUAGAUACAUCACAGAACUUUAUGAAAAUAAAAUGUCACUGCAAAGCUGAAUUUUAUGGCGAUAGAUGCGAAAUUCAAUACAACGCUUGUAGUAUAGAAUCACAUCCGAUUCUAACUGAGCUAAGGAAAUUAAAAGCUAACGUUCCAAAGACUGGAGAUGAGUUGUGUAGAUUUGGUAUUAUCAAUCAAAACUUUAUUGCACAACAGCCUAAAUGUGUUCCCCUGGAAAAGAAUUUUAUUUGCCAAUGUCCUCAGGGUUAUAGGGAUAACCAUACUGAAAUUUAUCCAAACUGCAAUAUAAGGGAUCUGAAGUGCAGAUUAUGUUCAGAGGCGGAAGAAUGUGAUUUGAAAAAGACAAAUAGCUGCAGAUGUCAUGGUCGUAUCAAAGAUUGCAAUAAAUAUGUUGACAAAUGGGGUCCAUGGAAAGAGUGGUCGGAUUGCCCUGAUUCCUGUAAUCAAAAUAUUCGCUUUAUUAGACGACGAUCAAGAAAAUGUGAAACUCAUGAUAGAAAGCAAGCGGCCAUUAGUGCUUGUUCUCUUCAAGGCGGCGGAGUGGCGAUUCAAGAAGAAAGUUGUCAUGGUGAACCCUGUAUUGAGGUACCAAAAUGGGGGCCUUGGUCAAAUUGGGGGAAGUGUACAAGAACAUGUGGGGGCGGUUAUCGAACAAAAGGAAGAAAUUGUAUUUUCAGUGAUAUUCAGAAUAUUACUAAUUUUUGUCAUGGCUCCCAUAUCGUUAUAGAAGUCUGUAGCUUAAUAGAUUGUAAGCGUUCUAUUAGACCCUCUGACAUCGGUUUAAAAAUUCGUAAAAGCGCGCUGGAGUGGGGAUUAUGGCUUCCUUGGUCAAAGUGUGGAUGGACUGGUAACUGUGGUAAGGAUCUGGCUAUCAGACUUCGAUCUUGUAACGACGGUUCAGGGGCUUGCUUUGGCUCGGCAUUUGAUGUUAUCAAUUGUUAUAAGAAGUGUUCAAGAUCAUAUGAAGGAUUUCACGCUUGGCAACCUUGGACUUCCUGCAAUAAAGAUCAAACUACGUGCUCAAGAGUGCGUAAUUGCACUGCUGUUGGUCAUAAACAAUGUAGAGGCUUUUCCAAACAAGUUGCUCAAUGUCAAAAUAAAAUUUGCGUAGGAGGUAGUCCAAGAUACCUCUCCAGAACAAUGCUUGGAUUAUCUGGAAUGAAAAUGUUUGAUAAAGAGAUAAACUUCGAUCAAACGCAAUUUCUAUUGGACGAUGUAAAAUAUCAUAGACCAAAGUAAGGUCGAUAUACUAUAGAUAUUCCAAUGACCUUUAUUUGGUCUAUGAAGAUGUUUAAAUGGAAACAUUAUCGAAGAAAAAUAUUCAUAGGAGAUAAAGAUUACUUUGAAAGUCUAAGUAGUAAACUUAAAUCGAAACGAAUGUUGAAAAAUUUUAUUUUGUUUGCACCACCUAUAUUCGAAGCUAUAAUGUUACUCAUAUUUUGUUACUAUUUCUAUAAGCAUAGAUUAACAGUACAGUGUGCAAGACGCAAUAUUUCAUCUCUCGCUCAUUCCAAAAGUACAUGGAUAUGGACAGCCAAAGAUGAAAUGGAGAGGCUAAAGCAUGAAUUUACUAAAACACUUUUACAACAAGAAACUGAAGGUAUUUAAAACAGAAUUAAGUGAACAUAAAUUGCUAUUAUUUUAACUUGGGUUUCUUAUAAACUGUUAUAUCGUUACUAGUUGAAAAGUCUAAUUUCAAAGUCUUUAAAUUUGAUUUUUCUUGGCUCUAGAAGUUUUAACAAGAUGACGAACUUUAAAAAGUCAUCGCAUAGAUUACAACUCCUCUUCAAGACAUGUGAGGCUUUCCACUGACUCAAAAUCAAGGAAUGAAUUCAAGCUCUUUUUCUUCAAUUUAAGUUUCAUGAAAGAUGGCAGCUUUUGACAAAUUAUGAGCUGCCCAUCAACAUCUAGCUAACAGCCAUACAUCGAGCCACAACCUUAGGUUGAGCUCCUUGGAGUCAUUGCUCCUCCUCUGGUCAUUGAUCUCUAUAACAGAACUCCAUCUACCGUCAUCUUCAAGUAUUGAAAGGUGUAACCAUAACUUUAAUCCUCACUUUGUUUUCUCAAAAAAGCUUCAGUCAUUUAGUUAAGAUGUUAAUAUAUAUUGCUAAUGAUGGUUUAGCUAUAAUAUCCCCUUUAGCAAAGAUCUAAUUAUCAAUCUAUAAAUUUUAUUGAGAUUAAUUUGAAUAAAUGUUUAACCUCUUAUUUUAUCAAUGAUCAUUAGUCCUGUUUAAAUUCCUCAUGGCAACCAGUAAUUCGGCAAUCGAAUGCCAACCAUGUAGCGAAAUUGAAAAUUUCUACUAAACCGAAUAUCUUUUAACACUGUUUUUUCAUACUUUUUCACUUUUCUUUCCCCACUCAAGAUGUCAGUAGGGUCUUUGUAAACAAACUUCAGUUGGGCUGGUAAUGAUUUAAAGGUUGUGUAUUUUUUCUUACUGGAAAUACAAAAAUGCUACCAUGAGUUCUUGGGGCACAUGUGCAAUUUUCAAAUUC
rnacentral:misc_RNA from 1 species